ACCUGGAUAGCUCAGUCGGUAGAGCAUGAGACUCUUAAUCUCAGGCUUAGGGGUUCGAGCCCCAUGUUGGGCA